rnacentral:rRNA from 1 species
UUAGACCUCAAAUCAGAUGGGACUACCCGCUGAACUUAA